rnacentral:rRNA from 1 species
UACCUGCACCCCGAGUGGUCGGGACGAUUAUUGGGCCUAAAGCAUCCGUAGCCGGUCAUGCAAGUCUUCCGUUAAAUCCAGCCGCUCAACGGUUGGGCUGCGGAGGAUACUACGUGGCUAGGAGGCGGGAGAGGCAAGCGGUACUCAGUGGGUAGGGGUAAAAUCCUUUGAUCCAUGGAAGACCACCAGUGGCGAAGGCGGCUUGCCAGAACGCGCUCGACGGUGAGGGAUGAAAGCUGGGGGAGCAAACCGG